rnacentral:rRNA from 1 species
AUCGAACGCUCGCGGCAGGCCUAACAUAUGCACGUCCUACGAGUUGAUGACGGGUGAGUAAUGACUGGGAAACUGCCUGAUGGAGGGGGAUAACUACUGGAACCGGUAGCUAAUCCCGCAUACCAGCGGAUGUGCCCAGAUGGGAUGAGCUAGUAGGUGGGGUAAAGGCUCACCUAGGCGACGAUCCCUAGCUGGUCUGAGAGGAUGACCAGCCACACUGGAACUGAGACACGGUCCAGACUCCGACGGGAGGCAGCAGUGGGGAAUAUUGCACAAUGGGCGCAAGCCUGAUGCAGCCAUACGGCGUGUAUGAAGAAGGCCUUCGGGUUGUAAAGUACUGUCAGCGGGUAGGCGUUACCCGCAGAAGAAGCACCGGCUAACUCCGUGCCAGCAGCCGCGGUAAUAC